UACGUAGGGUGCGAGCGUUGCCCGGAUUUAUUGGGCGUAAAGGGCGCGUAGGCGGCCUGGCGCGUCGGCUGUGAAAUCUCGGAGCUUAACUCCGAAACUGCAUUCGAUACUGCCGUGCUUGAGGACUGGAGAGGAGACUGGAAUUUACGGUGUAGCGGUGAAAUGCGUAGAUAUCGUGAGGAAGACCAGUGGCGAAGGCGGAUCUCUGGACAGCUCCUGACGCUGAGGCGCGAAGGCUAGGGGAGCAAACGGG
rnacentral:rRNA from 1 species